UAGACAGUAAUUUAAUUGGAAAAAUAAAGAAAUUUGACUUCUUAUUUAUAAGUUCAAGUCUUAUCUGUCUAA
rnacentral:tRNA from 1 species